CUUGUUUGGCUUAUGUUUACAGUUCCUAAAAAUUAUAUUAGCAUUGUUAAUAUUGAAAUACUUCUUCCUUGCAACCAAUACUUGUUUUGUGAGGGUGGAUACUCCAACCUGCAUCUUGUAAUGUGGUUGGAGAAGACUGAGAGGAAGGGGGGAGGGA
rnacentral:lncRNA from 1 species